GACGAACGCUGGCGGCGUGCUUAACACAUGCAAGUCGCACGAAGUGGCGAACGGGUGAGUAACGCGUAAUCAACCUGCCCUUCAGAGGGGCACAACAGUUGGAAACGACUGCUAAUACCGCAUACUGAAGGCGGGGAUUGCGUCGGAUUAGCUAGUUGGAGGGGUAACGGCCCAACAAGGCGAUGAUCAGUAGGCGGUCUGGGAGGAUGAACGGCCAAAUUGGGACUGGGACACGGACCAGACGCCUACGGGAGGCAGCAGUUGGGAAGCUUUCGCAAUGGAAGAAAGGCUGACGGGGCAACGCCGCGGGAGUGAUGACGGCCUUCGGGUUGGAAAGCUCUGUUAAUCGGGACGCGGUACCGGAAUAGAAAGCCACGGCUAACUACGUGCCAGCAGCCGCGGUAAUUC
rnacentral:rRNA from 1 species